GCGCCUCCUUCCUCCUCUUGGAACCUGUGCCGCCGCCCCCGCGCCUCCUUCCGCCUCCUAGCACGUGCGCCGCCGCCGCCGCACCUCCUUGCUUCUCCUGCCAUGCGCGCCGCCGCCCCGACCUUUCCUACCGCACUCUCCUCCCAGGCUCCUGUCGCCGCCCCGCCCACAUCACGACCAGCUCCGGCCACUGCCGCGCCCCCAUCUCCCCCGGCUCCCACACCGCCACGCAUCUCGUCCUGGUGGGGCACCAUAACCGGACCACCCCAGUCCCCAGGUCGUUCAACGCCACCACCCCAGUCCGUUCAUUGCAGCAACACCCUGGAUCCAGCUGCCGCCAUGUCGUUCCCACAACGACGUUCGAUGGAGCACCUCGUCUCUCUCCUGCUGCAGGGAGGCCCAACUACUGCACUGUGGAGGGUACUGCCGGAGAUAAGUAGUAGGCGGCAAAGUGUUUUGAGGCAGCAAACAAGACGAGGCAUAAAGAUGACGGGCAGCGCCAAGCCGUUCGAUGCCGCAGCUUGGGAGGCCGCCUCCUUUGACAACUCCUGAUCUCCGGAACAGCCAUGGCUCCCUGCCGGCACAACUCGCUGUCGACGACCUCCUUUGACAACUCGCCUUUGAGGCCCACCAGACUCACACGACGAUGCUGGCCGUCCACAGCCAACACCACAGGCCGUUCACAGCCAGCACUCAUGUCCGCUCUCAAAACCACCCCAAAGUGCAGACCGUACAUGAGGACAGGGCAAGUGAUGGACUUGAAGGAUUUCAGUCAAUCAAGCUAGUUGUCGAAAAGGUAGUGUUCGCCGUCGACGGUGCUGCCAUUUGAGUUUAUGGCUCUGCCAUGGAGGCUUCCUGGAAGUUUCUCUGUUUCCAUGUACGGUGUCGGUGUUCCAUGACAGCGGCCGUGACGCGUGAUGUUCCCUGGUUAAGAUUGGUUUACUUUGGCUCUCACAGUAGGAGGACAGGCACGGCGUGCAUUCAGUCUCAGAACCUGAAACUAACCUGACUGAGGUGCCAUUCAGUUUUCAGUGAUAAGCUCCAUUUAUUUACUAGUAGUUUCACCUUAUUUUUUGAAUUAAAAAGAACAAAACUUAACUAGUUUGACCACCGUGUGACCGCCAAGCACAAGGAAGGAAGGGCCACCGUCUGAGGCGACGCGUACAUAUGUACACCCAGGAGUCAGGACAGGACACAACAUCCGACGCGGCGUACGUACUACACUGAGGACUCCCUCGUCACCGAUAAAGACAAGAAGACCGGCAGCAUCCUCAUCCAGGUGUGUACGGCGAGCGGCUAUUGAACUUGUGCGGCUGCUGCUUUUGGAUUGCCCAGGAAGCACAUCAUUAUAGAAGGCAAAAAUUUGUAACAUAUAUGUAACGCCUUGGAUCCGAUGCGCCAAGAGUCCGUCAGUUAUUCGCCGUCGUUGCCAUGUCAUUUGCUUGCGUGUUGCAUUCUGUCAUGUCAUCAUCUGCAUUUCAUCUGCAUGUUUUAAAAA